rnacentral:lncRNA from 1 species
GAGAAGUGAAGAAAGUUUUAUGGUAUUGGAAGGAGAGGAGAGAACAAUAGAUUAGGGUUUAAGGUGCAUUUUUAAUUUGUUAAUUAUUAUUUAUUUGUUUGAUUUAUAAAUCUUAUUAUUUGUCCUAUUUUGAGGUUUUGGAAAGGGAGGAGGCAGCAGAUUAAGGUUUAAAGGAACAUUUUUAAUGUUUUUCCGUAAUUAUUAUUUAUUUGUUUGUUUUGUAAUCUUCAUUAAAUGUCCCAUUUUAUGAUUUUGGAAAGAGAGGAGGCAACAACAGACUAAGGUUUAAAGGUGCAUUUUAAUUUUUUUUUUUUGUAAUUAUUAUUUGUUUGUUUGUUUUGUAAUCCUUAUUAUUGUCCUGUGUUAUUUUUUAGUUGGAUGUAGCUAUUGAGUUGAGGUUAGAUUUUAGAGUAGUUGGUAUGUUCCUAUACAUUUAAUUUAUACAUUAUAGUAUUAAUGCCUUUUUCUGGUGCCAUUUAGAAAACAUAUUUUAUGCCCUCAUUUAUUUUUUUAUUUAUUUCUCACUUGUAUUGGUCUUACGGUUUAGCCAGUUUGCUCAAAUUUUGUGUCUAAAGACAAAACGAC